rnacentral:tRNA from 1 species
CGGGGCGUGGCGCAGCCCGGCUAGCGCGCUUGCUUUGGGAGCAAGAAGUCCUGGGUUCAAAUCCCAGCGCCCCGA